CCCCCGUGCUGUUUACGUCACCCCCCGUGCUGUUUACGUCAGUGUCCCUGUCCCACCACCAUUUGUUGCCUUGCUUUAAUCAGGCCCAGAAGAAAGCCGUUGUAUUUUGGCCCGUCUGUCAUCGGAGGCCGUCCCUGAUAACGCUAUAACCAACGUUUCCUCCACUCGGAUGCCACCGCCAGAUAAACCCCUCAAAAAAAAGGCCAAAUCAAGAGGAGAGGCGACGCUCUCGCUUUCUCUCUCACCUCCACCCACUCCCCCUUUCUUCCAUCUGUUUUCCUGGCAUAUUAUUCAUUUCCUCUUUUGGAGGCAGAAAAAGAACCCGGUUCUGAUUCAUUACUCCUUGAUUUUUGUUUGCGUUUCUUUUUCUUGUUUUCUUUUGUUUGAUGUUUUUUAAAUGAGCUGUCUUUUUGUUUUUGUGUUGCCUUUUCCUCUGCUAAAAGGGAGUUUAAAGUCUAAAUGUCCCCGUAAUGCUACUUACAGUACAUAUCAGAGGCUUGGUGUGCCCUGUGGGUUGUAGGCACACACGCCACCGAGACAUGUCAGUUAAUGAAUACAGGAUUGAUAUUAAUUAGGUUUGUUCUGGGUGUUUGUGUGGGAGUCUGUCUGUGCAUCCACUUGUUCUGUUCACAUUUCAUUGACCCCCUUCUUCCCCCCCACACACACUUAACCUAAUUAAUUUAGUGAAUGUGCAACCUAGACUAGUGAAAUUGUUGCAAAGCCACAAGUAAUGGCAACUCUUGUUCGUCACAAUAAGGCGUUUUGAGUUGCUGCGUUAAGAUUCUUAAUUCUAGGAUAUUGAAAGGAUUUGAUAAUUGGGAUUUUGUAUUACAAUGUCAUAACUUGGAACAACUGGCAGAGAAGGAAAGCAACCAGAUCAAUGCUCUAAGUGUUCCUGCAAAGAUCACAUGUUAACGCCUUUCAAUUGAGCUAUGAAAAUGUUGGACAAUUUGGUACUAUUAUAGUCUAGAUUAAACAUUCUGAUAAGUGCUAGUCUAGAAAUGGAAACAAACAAUUCUCUAUCCUGGACUCUAGAGAACCAUUUUCUCUCCAUAUGGUUGCGAUACAUAUACACUGAGUGUAUAAAAGGGUUUAAGCAUACCUUCCUGAUAUUGGAAUCCACAUGGUGUAGAAAGCGUUUCACAGGGAUGCUGGCCCAUGUUGACUCCAAUGCUUCCCACAGUUGUGUCAAAUUGGCUGGAUGUCCUGUUGGGUGGUGGACCGUUCUUGAUACACACGGGAAACCUGAGUGGAAAAACCAAGCAGCGUUGCGGUUUUUGACAAACUGGUGCGCCUGGCACCUACUACCAUACCUCGUUCAAAGGCACUUCCAUUUUGUCUUGCCCAUUCACCCUCUGGAUGGCACACACACAAUCCAUGUCUCGAUUGUGUCGAGGCUUAAAAAUGUAACAUCUCUCCCCUUCAACACUGAUUUUGAAGUGUAUUUAACAAGUGACAUCAACAAGGGAUCAUAGCUUUCACCUGGUCAGUCUGUCACAGAAAGAACAGGUGUUAUUUUGUUCAGUGUACAGUCAGGUCCAUAAUUAUUGGCACCCUUGAUUAAAAAUGAUCAAAUAAGACUAUACAAUAAUGAACUACAUUGCGCCGUAUUUGUUGUUUUGGCUGAUCUUUAUCAAGGGUGCCAAUAAUUGUGCAUCUGACAUGCAUAUAGCCUUUGUGUUUGUAAUGCACUGAACUAUGCGCUCCACUGAACAUGUUGCCAUUGACCCUGAACUUAAACCUCACCUUAUGUGUAAACAAACACAGCAAGAACUAUGCCAUGAGGUCUAGGUCUGGACUCACCCAAUUCUUUGUUGAAAUACUAGUUUGUUAUUUACUGAAACACUGAGGAAGUUUGAUAUUGUAGUACUGUCUGUAUGUUUUAGUGUUUUUCUCUAGUCUAAAUACCUGGCAGUUGGUUUUAGUUGUAAUGAAGGUUCAUGGGUCAAAGGUUGGUGGUUGCAACGCUGCUCCUAAAAAUUCACUGGAGAGAAGAGGGUGCGGAUUUCACUUUUAUUCUCUAAUUUGUGUCGCCACCCACCCAGAGCUUACUUAAAAAAUAAAAAUAAACAAAUAAAUUACUUGGAGGUAA
ensembl:lncRNA